AACCCGCCUGUAUGACAUCGCGUCAUAACCGCCAUCGCUCGCGAUUAUUGCGUCGUAGUCGGCUUCACUCGCAAAAGCACACGUUUGCGACGUCACAUAGCGGUUACUUUUAUUCGCUUGCCUUUUGCGACAUUUUUCAUGGGGCCCCAUGCGCGCUUUGCGUCGUCGCAAGGCACAUUACUUAUACUUUGCAUUAAUUUUAAUCAAGUAUAUUCGUGUUGCUGUUAGCCAAACAUGAAGCAUGAAGAUCAAAGAUUUGGUAAAGUAUACAUUACAAUAGGCAUUGUUACGUACAUCAGCUCUUUUCUAGAUAGCACCAGAUGUGACGUCACGAAGUGGUGAUGACGCAACAGAAGAACCCACUUCAAUCUGGUAUGUGACGUCACAGAGGAUGAAGAGGACAAAGCGCGAAUUCUGAAUAAAGAAAAGCCAACGUAUAUACUGCAGAAGAAAAGCGCAAGGCGAAUAGCAAAGCAGAAGAAGAAGACGACGAAUGAGGAUGCCGGUUUGAGUUUUUGCCUAGGCUUAAGAGUUGUGUGUUGUUGAGGUGUGGAUGCUGGAGCACUCUUAUAGUGUUGCCGGGUUUGUGUUUGUCUCUCAUUUUUGCUGGACCUAAUGUGGCCAGUAUUUUUGUCAGUCACUACUUUAGUGCAUUUUGCAUGUCUCUGAAAUAGAUGCAAUGAAACUAUGGCAAACAUCUUGCUGGAUCGGAUUUUGUUGUUGUACACGUUAUUGAGUGUUUCUUCUGCAAAGGUCAAAUCUUUCAGCGAUUCUGUUGUAUCAAUCACUUGGUAAGAACGGCAUGUUGGUACACAAAUACUUGAGUAAUAUCCACGCGCAUUAUAAUAUACACGCGGUCAAACUUUCAAAUUUGAUAUUUCUGAUUUUACUUUAGUUAAUUGUCCUGGUUUACAAGUUGCUAUUUUUAUAAACGCCUAAUUGUGACGCUGGCCACGUUACAAUUACGCGAUACGUCGAUGGGUCUUUAACGCCCAGAGUUCGGUGCGGUUAUGUCACGGUUCUAGACUGAGUUAUGCUACGGUUAGGUUGUUGCGUAGACGUCCCCGCAAGUGGUGCUACGCUAGUUUUAGGUCACUUCCGGUACUGUGAUGCCACGCCCACCACAUUUAGGUCACUACUGGUACAGUGAUGCUACGCUGGGUUAUUUAGGCCACUGUUACUGCGGUUCGUAACAACCUGACGCAGUUUCAUGGCGGUCGAAGCGGUGCUUAACAUCCGGAUGAUAUUCUAUUGCGCGAAGAUACACGAGAUUAUCGCGGUACCAACAUGGCGACUUACCUUGUGAUGGGGCAUACGGAGCUGUUGUUAGCUUCGACUCCUUGUGGCCGGACAUUUAAUAAUUUGUACACUGCAGAUGAUUAUCCUUCAGGAUUUGAACCAAAUUUCGUUUCAUCAUGUUUCAUUGAUUAUGUUCACGUUAAUUAACUUUUUGUAGUCCCAUUUUUGGAUGUGAAUGAGCUGUUGUGUGUAUUGCAUGUUUUUUGCACUUUUUGUAUUUGCACCUCGAUGUAUUAUUUUUGUCUUUGUCGUUGUUGUCCUGCACGUGUGUAUGUACAUUUGUUGUAUCAUUUUUGUCUAUAGGGGUUUCUUUAACCUGCGUGGACAGUAACAUCCCGCAAGGGUUUCUCACCUCAGUAGAAACCCACUACCAUUGGCUGGGG